AAAUACUGAUACAGGGCUCUUUGGGUCUUGUAAUUGGAAUGAGUACAAUUUAAAUACCUUAACGAGGAACAAUUGGAGGGCAAGUCUGGUGCCAGCAGCCGCGGUAAUUCCAGCUCCAAUAGCGUAUAUUAAAGUUGUUGCAGUUAAAAAGCUCGUAGUUGAACCUUGGGCCUGGCUGGCCGGUCUGCCUCACCGCAUGUACUGGUUCGGCCGGGCCUUUCCUCCUGGGGAUCCGCAUGCCCUUCACUGGGUGUGUUGGGGAACCAGGACUUUUACUUUGAAAAAAUUAGAGUGUUCAAAGCAGGCCUUUGCUCGAAUACAUUAGCAUGGAAUAAUAGAAUAGGACGUGCGGUCCUAUUUUGUUGGUUUCUAGGACCGCCGUAAUGAUUAAUAGGGAUAGUCGGGGGCAUCAGUAUUCAGUUGUCAGAGGUGAAAUUCUUGGAUUUACUGAAGACUAACUACUGCGAAAGCAUUUGCCAAGGAUGUUUUCAUUAAUCAGUGAACGAAAGUUAGGGGAUCGAAGACGAUCAGAUACCGUCGUAGUCUUAACCGUAAACUAUGCCGACUAGGGAUCGGGCGAUGUUAUUCUUUUGACUCGCUCGGCACCUUACGAGAAAUCAAAGUC
rnacentral:rRNA from 1 species